ACUUCUCUGGUGGAAUUGGUAGACACGUUGGUUUUAGGAACCAAUGCUUUCAGCGUGAGGGUUCGAGUCCCUCGGGAAGUA
rnacentral:tRNA from 1 species